rnacentral:lncRNA from 1 species
GUUAGGGUUUCAGCUCCAAUGUGCUCUAGAUCUCCACCCAGACCCCAAUCCCAGGACCCAUCCUCACUGAGCCUACAGCUGAACACAUGCAGUGUGGUCAAGAAGUGGCCAGUGCCUUCCCGUGUCUCCUCUGUCACUUCAGCACCAUGGCGCUGACCAGCACUGAAGGCCUGGGAACAACCUCCCCAGCCAGGCACCUGGGUGACCUCUUGGCCCUCCCCUCUGUCGCUGAAGAUCUUGGG